AAGACAUUAGUAAAGUACGCAAAUUACACCACCUUGUCGAGGUGAAGUCGCAGGUUAAAUCCCUGUAUGUCUUG
rnacentral:tRNA from 1 species